AGGAGGAGGAGGGCGCAGAACACCGGACCGGCGGCUGGGUUUGUGCAGCAGAGAGCGCCACAGAGGGGCGACAUGAAGAGGGACGGAUAGUCCAUCAGCAGUCCGCUGGGCUUAAAACUGUCUGUUUUGCAACAAAUUGAGCCCUUCUUCCGUAGUGGGUCGCGGGAAAGCUGGUGCAGAUCUCCAACAGUCUAUGGGCGGGGUACACCCUGGACAAGUCACCAAUCCAUCUCAGGGCAAACCAGUCUAAGAAGAUCAUGGGCUUCUUGAUGACACACCUUUCUGAUGACACACCAGCAUCACAUCUUUUGUUUUUUCUUUCCAGCAAAGAGAAGGACACCAAUGUAGUCAUCCAGCAGGAGUGGGAGCAGCUUCAGCACCGGUGGCCUCCUCAUCAAACUGAUCAGGUGUGUCUUCCGGUGGAUACUCCACAUCAUCAUCCUCCUAAGAAACCUGCUCAUCUGUAUCGCUAUGAUGCUGUGUGUCCUCUGCCUCAUUGCUCAGUGUUAUCAGGUUAGAAGGCUGCCACACUCACAUUUCUAUAGUUUGUUUCUCUCCAGAUGCAUAUGACUCCUCUGGUCACACAAUACUUUCACUUAAUGUGAACUACUUCUUCCUAUGUGUGUACUUGUUAUUGACCAUUACAAAAAAAAAAUUUUUUCUGCCAUAAGGACAAAAAAAACCGAACUUAUUCAGUCAUUUUCUAUCAUAAAAUUUAGAAUUUAUGAUGCUAGCUGAGGCCUAUAGUAACUCUGGGUUUUUUCAAAUUCCUCUGAAAAGAGAUUUCCAGCUGUCCUGAAUGUUUUCCAGCUAUUGUGUGAAUAAUCUUUCACACAAUACAAUUUGGCAUGCUGUUGAUCACUGCGUUAACUCAUCUAGAUGUUCAGGAAACAAAUGCAUUUUGUGCUCAAACUUGCAACCGAUCAGACAAUAAAGUACAAAUAGCUUCUUGAUCUUGCUGCUGGUUACCUUUCUGGUCACAAUCCUUGAGAACUUUUGAGUAAAGAUUGUUGGUAUAAUACGUCAACAUUUCUAUUUGUACUAGAGUCUUUGACACUGUUUUUGCAUAAAUACGACUGCUGGAGAUAGGCACCAGCUCCCCCGCGACCCACUAUGGAAUAAGCGGUAGAAAAUGACUGACUGACUGACUUAUUGUUCCUUUUUAUGUUAUGUUUUAAUUGUAACGCUUCAUUCAGAUUCGGUAUCAAAAUAACUGCAGACACAUUUUUCAGUAAUGAGGGGAAAAUUCAAAGCUUUUGAGCAUUAUUUUUACAUUAAAUAAGAAAAAACUUUAAAGUUAUGAAUAAAAUAUAUUUGAAAACAUUCUUGCACAGUUGGAUCUAACAUUAUUCUUAGGUGUUAAACAUACUUUGCAUUAAGCCCACAUUUCUGUAUUAAAAAUGUUUUUUUAUUGGUUUGAUGUUUUCAUUAGCUGAAAAUCAUCAUAAUCAACAGAAAUAAAGGCUUGAAAACAGUCUGUGUAAUCAAUUUACUAUGUAAUUUGUUUCACUUGGUGAAUUGAGGUACUAAAAUAAAUGAACUUGUUGUAAUAAAUUGAAAGGAAUUAGUAAAAUUAUUGACAACCAUAUGACCUCUGAGACUAACAUGAAUCCAAUCCAUGCUAAAGAUGUGCAGCAACAUCAUGUGGAUCAAUCUUGUAGCGCUCCCCCAUCUCUGUAGAGCCAGAAUCACUAAAAAGGCCAUACUAUCCUUGCCGACCCAAGUCAUCGUCUUCAACGGUACCACUGGUUGCGGCCAUCUGGUCUCAGAUACAUAGCACUGAAGUAUAAUACAAAAAGGCACAAAUGUUUAGUUGUCCCUGUAGGAUUAGCCUUAUCAUGUGACCAGAUUUGGCAAACAGAAACUGUAGAAACAAUAUAUUCCUAUCCUGAAUGUUGUGAUGUUAGAGCUGUUUGUUUUUCUAUGUAUUUGUUUCUCUGCUGGCUGCAAAACAAAUAGCCCCUUGGGAAUA